CUUAUCAAGAGUGGCUGAGGGACAGGUCCUGUGAAGCCCGGCAACCUAUCCGGAACGGAUAAGGUGCCACAUCCUGCGGAAUAUCCGAAAGAUGAGG
rnacentral:ncRNA from 1 species